ensembl:lncRNA
CACCCGCCUUGGCCUCCCAAAGUCCUGGGAUUACCCGUGUGAGCCACCGCACCGGGUCACAUAUGUUUUUAAAGAAUCCCAAAUUUUAAGACAUAUAACCUGUUCUCAACUUAGGCGAUGCCUGGGUGGAACAGAGAAGGGACAUCUCAACUUCCGGGGAUGGGGGUGGGGGGAUAUCAGCUGCCCCUGGAGGGGUAGAAAAGUGAAAAGUUAAAAUUACCUCUGCGUUACUAUUAGGCUGCGGCUGUGAGCUCCUCCGUGGCUCUCCUCCCCUAUGGAGUUGCUUUCUGCUGGCCGGGCAUGUCCCAAGAGCGAGAUGAAGGAAGCAGAGCAACCGUUGCUGCUUCUCCUUUUUCUGCUUCCUUUUCCCAGGUGGCUUCGGGACGGGGCUGGUGUCGCGGCCCCUCCCUCAGCCCUAGGGCGCCUCAGAGCAGUCAAACUGCUGGGCUCGCCGCAGAGAGGUCCCCACCUCUGCAGGUCCUGGCAGAGCAAGGCCCAGUGACAGCUCCAUUUUCUAGCAACUCAAGACUUGGUGCCUGAAGGAGGGAGCACGAGCUCAGAGCUGUGUCCAGGCGCAGCCGCCUUCUCUCUUCCCUCAAUCCUCUGAGCUCCUCGCGGAGAAUUCUGACGUCUUCCUUUCAGCGCAUGCCUCGAGGUUUUUCUGGUGCCUAGAGAUUCUCUGAUUUGCUUGGAAUCACACAUGGUAUUUGGUUUCAGUGGAAUAUUGCUGAUCCGUUACCCUCCACAGAACUCCCGAGAAGAACAGAAAUCUGUCUGCCUCUGCUUUCCAAGGACGCUGACCACAAAUAAGGCUUUCCUGAUAGAAAAUGAAUCCAUAGGAAACAUCCUACAAGAAAUAUUUAUCCAGCAAAUGGCAUGUGGAAGCUGUUUCCCUGUGUUCCUAAGUCCCAGGCUGCGAGCACCACUCGCCUCCCUCGCGAUGUCUGGAGAGCGGGAUGUCUUCCAGGUUCGUCUCCUCACUGCUGGCGGCCCGUCCUGGGUGUGGGGCUCCUGCCACGGACGCCUCCUCAGGGUGCAGCCACAGUGGGGAUCCUCUCCGUCUUUGCCACCCCCAACGCCUAUGCACUUGGCUGCCUGA